GGCCGGUUCGCUACGGACGUCUACGGCUACGAGCCGCGUACUCGAAAAUUCCGAGUAUGGACAAAUUCGAGUUAUCCGAGUUUCCAUUAUCUUUUGUGCGACUGUGACUUCAGUACAUUUGUUCAGCUGAGCAAAUAUUUGAUGAAAUUUGUUUUGUCGAUCACUUCGCGGACGUUGUGUUAGAAUUGGACAAGUUGUCUGUUUUAUUUUGUUGGAGUGAACUUUUCUAUCGAUUUGUUUGGCUGAUGGAAUUUGUUUGAUUUAUUACCUGAGUGCGGAAAACAUUCAUAUAACCUUCCGAGAAAUCAUCUAGGAAAACUAAUACUCUGUGA